GACGAACGCUGGCGGCGUGCUUAACACAUGCAAGUCGAACGGAAAGGCCUCUUUCGUGGGGUACUCGAGUGGCGAACGGGUGAGUAACACGUGCGUAACCUGCCCUUGACUUUGGGAUAACUUCAUGAAACUGGGGCUAAUACCCGAUAUGAGCUCCUGCUGCCUGGUGGGGGUUGGAAAGUUUCGGCGGUUGGGGAUGGACUCUCGGCUUAUCAGCUUGUUGGUGGGGUAGUGGCUUACCAAGGCUUUGACGGGUAGCCGGCCUGAGAGGGUGACCGGCCACAUUGGGACUGAGAUAAGGCCCAGACUCCUACGGGAGGCAGCAGUGGGGAAUAUUGCACAAGGGGUGGAAGCCUGAUGCAGAAACGCCGGGUGCGGGAUGACGGCCUUCGGGUUGUAAAACGCUUUCGCUCAUGACGAAGAUUUGUGUGACGGGAGUGGGUAAAGAAGCACCGGCUAACUACGUG
rnacentral:rRNA from 1 species